rnacentral:rRNA from 1 species
UACAGAGGCCUCGAGCGUUAGGCGGAAUCACUGGGCUUAAAGCGUGUGUAGGCGGAUUGGUAAGUACCUUGUGAAAUCCCACAGCUUAACUGUGGAACUGCUCGGUAUACUGCUGAUCUUGAGCCACUCAGGGCUACCGGAACAAAUGGUGGAGCGGUGAAAUGCGUAGAUAUCAUUGGAACGCCAAUGGUGAAACAGGUAGCUGGGGUGUGACUGACGCUGAGACACGAAAGCCAGGGGAGGCAAACGGG